GAUGAACGCUAGCGGCAGGCCUAAUACAUGCAAGUCGAACGAUAGUAUUAAGCUUGCUUAAUAUGAAAGUGGCGCACGGGUGCGUAACGCGUAUGAAACCUACCUUAAUCAGGGGGAUAGCCUUUCGAAAGAAAGAUUAAUACCGCAUAAUAUCACGAUGGGGCAUCCUGUUGUGAUCAAAUAUUUAUAGGAUUAAGAUGGUCAUGCGUGACAUUAGCUAGUUGGAGAGGUAAUGGCUCACCAAGGCGACGAUGUCUAGGGGAUCUGAGAGGAUGGCCCCCCACACUGGUACUGAGACACGGACCAGACUCCUACGGGAGGCAGCAGUAAGGAAUAUUGGUCAAUGGGCGGAAGCCUGAACCAGCCAUGCCGCGUGCAGGAAGACGGCCCUACGGGUUGUAAACUGCUUUUAUUCGGGAAUAAAUCUUUCUACGUGUAGGGAGUUGAAUGUACUGAAAGAAUAAGGAUCGGCUAACUCCGUGCCAGCAG
rnacentral:rRNA from 1 species